CUUGAGAAGGAUCGAUCUCGAAGGAGUUAAGUGGCUGCCGGUUCUUCCAAGAAGUAUACCCAUCGACUCCAGAGUAGGAAUCACGUUCAUGGCCGACCGUGCUCCAUCGCGGCCUCUGUCAUCUUAAUCCCCGGGAUCCUUUUUACACGGCUUUCUCAUUCGCGUCCUCUGUGUACCCGCCACCUUGUGGACUUUGCUGCCCAGACCAAGACCCGGGACCACCUUCUCUCUUAUCCGCUUGAAUUACGGCGAGGCACGUCCGCCCCUAGUGGAUGUCCUGCUUCAGGCUGGACCUCGUCCAGCUUUCACGGAAAAGGAACCUCCGUCGUCAAAUGGCCGAACCGUAUUAAAACGAAUCUGACCUACGUGAUGUUGGAUCUUAUUCCAACGUUAGAAAAUCAUCACACCGUCCUGCCGGAUCGCUUUCGCAACUUUUAUCGAAUACCGCAGGAUCGUCGAACGCGUCGCGUUGUCGUUCUCUUCGCUCUCUAGAAAUCUUCCUCCAACUCGAUACGUUUCGCGCAAUCUGCUGUCGGACAGACGUCGCAUUUUCGCCGUUCGCUCUUAUACGACGAGAACGCUUCGCUGCAUCGGACAUCGUCGCUAUAAUCGUAUCUAUAUAGCGUUCAUCGACGAGGCGUCACGUAUGACAAAGAUGGUGUCGCAAUCAGGUAGAAUCGAUCGGUCAGUCGAUAAAAGCUCGAAGGAUAGAUAUUGUCCGUGAAGAUGGCAGACUGGCGGUGAUCUUCGAGUAGACAAUAAAUGGUCAAGCGCUUUAGACACGUUUCCGUGAGCACGAACUAUGGGGCCUUCCGAUUGUACAGGCCAGCAAGGUUUCUCUUUAUUCUUCGACCAAGGGGAAGGUCGAUCGGCCCGAUGCCGAUCAACGAACAAAGCGUUUCUCCGUCGAUCAAGCUCUUCCUUCUCCUUUUCUUCGUCGACGAGCGUAUUCGUUGCUCCUUUUCCUUCUCUUCUUCGACAAGUAUUCCUUCAGAAAUACUCUCGUCGCGAACGUUUUCCAACGGACGGUACGCGCUAAGUAAAUUGCAUUUACGAAAUUUUCUCGAAAGUAUUUCGAUUCGAACAAAAUUCAUGUUCGAAAGAGGUUUCGAGAAUUAUGUACGUGUUUCGGCACGCGUCGACUCGAACUACUUUAUCGAGCGAAGCGUUCGUUUCGGGAAUGUCUUCUUCCUGAUUUCCAUACCUUCUGUUUGCUCGUUUACUCGUCGAGGUAGACAAGGGCCACGGAAGCGUGCGCAACUUCUACGACAUUUCUUUAAAAUUCGUCGAGUGAGAAGCGUUGAUUAAGCGACAUUCGUUUUUCUCGUUUUUGUCUGUCCUCCUUUGCGUCUCUUUUCCCUUGGUUCCGGGCUUGUUAAGGUGCGACCUGUGUAUUCGCUACGAGGUAACGUCUCUCAAAGGACUCCUUGGACUUGGCCGGUUCUUCACGAUAACGAAAUCGUUGUCGAAGUCUCUGAGAUCCUACGUCUUCUAGAAUCACCGAACAAACCUAAUUCUUUCUCCUCUCUUCUCUCAACCUCUUCGAAUCUACAGUUUCCUCGACGCGGACUAUACCAGUACGAAAUUUCGACAAAGUUUCGUCAAAACGUUCGCCCAGUUCUAAAGCAAGUAAUUUCAUAAUUGCCUAUUCCCGUCGUACCUGUUCGUACGUAAUUCGUAAUUCUCGUUCAGAUCAUCAAAACGUACGCGAUAUUCGUGAUAUCUUGGAUUCGUUCGCUCGUAGGACACAAUUAUCACGGUACUUUGGUAUUCUUCUCGCAGUUUCUUUCUUACAGCUUCCUAGAUACAUCUUAUCUGCCAGGCCUGAAACUAGCUUGAAACUCGAGUGCCGGUUGGGAGAGAUAGCAGCGAAUUGUUUGGUCCCCCGAGUGAACUAGGAUGUGUAUAACGGUGGUUAGAAGUUGCCAGGAUGCUUCCAAAACGUCGAGGCGGGGGAAAGCAGCAAUUUCUGCUUCGACGUACCACGAAGAGAGCGGCUCGAAGUUGCGACUCGAAUUGAAUGACCGAUCCGGGACGUCGAGCGACUAGCUAGAAGUAGAAACGAAGAAGAAGCGAACGAGACAUCCGUGAUCCGUUGGACGAGAACGAACCGAGCUCUGGAGCCAGGGAAAACCUUAUUAUGCGUUUCCCCGGAACUCCCCGCUUUGCACGGAUCUUGUAAAGUGGCGAGGGUCGCGUCAACCGAAUAACCAGACCAUAAACCACCAGAGGCCAAGGCAGAAGGACGGGUCGAGCGGCAGGCCGACUGCUAGAACCCGUUUACGUCACCCGUAAACCGGCAUCCUGUGGAUUUCGACGAGCAAAUACACUCGUGGCUAUGGUGCCUCGUAAACUCAGUCAAGACGUGAGCUGACGCACCGCUUUCCUGACGUUUCUCCAAAGGUGGAAACAGGCGAGACUACGCUACACACCAGGCCACACCGAAUCACACAGCGUCAGGAAAAAUACAGUCUCGCGCCGGUUGCUACGUUAUUCUUCGCUUGUAUUUAACUUAAAUAUCACGAACCCAGUGAAUACGUUGAAACUCGCGCGACCCAGCUUUCAAAUACUAAUUCAAACGAUCGCGAUUCGACGCGGCUUUUUCCAUUCAUCCGGCAGAGCUGCGAUAUUUUUGCCCGCGAUAGGGAGAGCAAGGGUGGUGGCGUGUCGCGUCGUUUUGCAGUUUGGAUCCCGGCAGAUUUAUCAGCCGCGUCGCGCGACAAAGUAUUUGCAUACAUUUCAAGUAAUUACUGGCUGUAUUUCAAAAAAUUACGCUCGCUCGUUGAUGGAUAGAACUGUUGUCGCGCGGCGCUGUUUCAGAAAGUUUUUUCGGGUCGCAGCACGGCCACCAACUUCGCACUGUCGCUACCUUUCCCCGGGGAAACGACCAUUUCGCGUUCCUGCUACAGUGUCGCGUGGUUAUUUGACGAGAGAAAAGCGCGCGCGAUCGCCACAUAAAAAUCUGGAUGAAUAAAAAUUCGCCUGAAAUCAUUAUCGGCCGUUACCAUUAAUAAUCACGAGGCUCGUAACAACGUCCCACGGGAUUUAGAUCUAUCGGUGAGUUUCACUCCGCGUUCCUCUUUUUCCUCUCCUCUCUCUCUCUCUGUCUCUCUCCUCUCGACGUUUCGUUGCCACGGUGAUGCAACCUCGUUUAAUUGCGAAACAUUUCCGCCACAACACGAGCAGAUGAAUCAACGGCUCGUGGUCUCUAUUUCUGUUUAAUUACAAAAUAUUCGCGAUAUCAACUCUCGUCUCUGGCCAUUCUCUGAAAAAGUCGCGAUCCUGCGAUUAUAUUGCUUUCUUUGUCCGGGAAUCCGCGAAACCAUAUUUUCUCACGCAGUCCCUUGGAAGAUGUCGCGAACCGAAUUCAUUGAGAGAGAGACGAUUCACGGCGAAUCUUUCUCUCUCGUAGCUAUGUCCAUAUCGUUAUCCACCGAACGUUGUUGGAUUUCAAUGGUUCGUGGCAUCGUUAGCUUUCCAGAUUCGUUUAAUUUCAGGCGGUCGAUCGCGUUGCUCCGUGUCGACCCGAUCUAAAACUGUCGCGACGGAUUUAGGAGUCACGCUAGGCGCUUCUGACAGGUGAAACUGGUUGAAGCAGCGCGAAAAUUUUAGUUUAAGAACGUAGCGGCUAGAGAAAGCUCGAGAAAGUCUGAAGCAUUAGCUGGAAGGAAGGUUACAUCGCUAAAAGUACCGUUUCGCGUGAACGCGGCGAUUAAAGAAGAACGAGGUUUAUUCGCGCCUCUCGAUUUACGAGCGACCGAUAACGAACAGCCAUUUUGUGGACUAAGUUGCUUCGUUAGCGGCUCGUUCGGCGGCUGUUGAAAACUACGUGGAAAGCGAUCGCGCGUCCGACAAACUUACAGGCGAAAAAAUAAAACUGCGAUCGCGAUAUCGGCUUGCGAACUUUGAUCGGAUGCUCGCCAUCGUCAUCGUUUAACAUGUCCGCGGCAGUUCUUCGACGAACUUUGCCGAGCGUUAAGCUGAAACUCCAUUAGUACGAAACGGCCGUAAAACGACGUGCUGCUCUCUUUGCACGUGCGCAAGCUUUGCCGUGGGUUUUGCCGUUAAACAAUACUCGAAAGAUGAGAGGAGAAGUGGGAAAUACGAAAAAAGCAGACAGAAGGAAAGAAAAAUCGAGAAAAAUAGCGGAUGGUGAAAACACAUAGGGGUUGAAGUGGAUCGGAAUUUGCAACUGUUUUCGAAGACUGCCAGGCGAUUCGUAAAUCAGAAAUCGAUAGCUCUUUCCUCGACGGUAUCAAUUUAUUCGAUUUCCCUCGGCCAGUUCCCAUUUGCCAUCGAUUUGGCGAGCCGGCUCUCCGAUCGGUCCGACUUAUUUAACACCACACCCGUGCUGAAUUUCCGGAUCGCUUGGAUUCCAAUCGUUCCAAUUAAAAAUUCAAAGCGAAUCGAAUUCCACGAGGUAGGCAGUUUCGAAUGGCGAUUCGGACGAUGUUCGGUGUGGCGCGGCGCCUCGUUUCUAUUCUCGUUUCAUUUGCAAGCAUCGCGUUUUGAUCUUCGAAUGCCGAGAGACGAGAGGAGAAAGAGAAGGAGGAGGAGGAGGGGCGGUUGGCCAACGAGCUAUCGUCGAUCGUAACUCGCGGCGAGGCAUCGUAGGACACGGGAUCGGAAAUAUCGGUGUACGAUAUACACGCACCACGUCGAUCUUCGCAGUUCACGGUACGACGUUACAAUCGGCGGUACGCCAAUGACCAACAAGUUUCUGAUUGACGAGCCGCGACGUUUUCGAAAAGCGACCAGCUCCGAAUCCUACGCGGGAAUAGACAACUGUGGCGUUCCGCUAACAGGUGCUCCAGUUUGUAGGGACCGAUUUAACCGGAAGCACGACAACGUUUCUGCAUGCCAGCAACACCGCUCUACGAGCCAUUGCGCGUUUGUUACACGUACACCAGCCUCGUUUCUGCCCGAUGCAACCGCUCCGUUAUUACUCUCUUGUCGGUAGACCGGUCGUUUAUUGUUAUUGGGUGCAGAAAUUCGGACAACAGUCGGUCAACAUCCCAAAGGAAAGCAGAUUUCAGUUUAUCGGUAACUGGGAUUCUUGAGAACGAUAACGCGAGGUUUGCCAGCGUGUGCGAUUCACCGAUCGUGUUCGCCAAGCAUCGUAAUUGAAAUAUUCAGGGCGAAAUCGUGGCAGACGAGAAGCUCCGCUGAUCGUUAGAUAAACGGAGUCGUUUUAUCGGAGAAACAGAAACGCGGCGUAAAUCGGAGUAAAUUCGUUCCGCUUCCCGGUGGCAAAAUACCGUGUAUCUCUGAAUGGUUUUCCCCUUUGCCACCUAUUUCACAUUUUUGUUGGGAACAUACGUAGGUAUAAAUAAACGAGCACGCUUUGAUCGCGAACGAUUGCAGGAAACCGAGCCAAUCGGAAUAUCGGAUGACAAGCAUACCGCGGACACGGUGGAAACUCGCACGGUUGGAUACGUUAUGGAUCGCAGAGGUUAUUGCACGUUGUUCGAGAGUAAAGGGGCUGGCAGAGAGGGUGUGCUGUACAAUUCGUAGGAUAGUUAAGGGCACUGACGUAACUACUGCAGCUAAUGAGGCAUAAACAACCGGGGUGCUAGCUACUCGGCCCCGCGUCCUAACCACCAUCCGAAAACCCCUACCUCUCCGUUUUACCUAACCAACUAUCCCCGUCCAUUUUAGUGGCCGUCUAUAGUUUAGUCACUGUUCUCGUAAACUAAUAAUAUCGGUGCGGCAGUACGGUCCUUUCGUGCGGCCAGCCUCGAAUUUAUCGUUUCCAACCUCGUACACUCUCCUGGUUUACCUACUGACAGAUCUUUCGGUCGGAUCAUUCCGUCGAAACGCUCCCUUUUAACUCUUUCCACUUUUAACCGACUAACCGCGAGUCGGACCGGUUCACGGAACACCGUUUAUUCUUCGUUUUCUCGUUAAAGCACAGCUACGUCUUCCCCUUUACCCCUGCCCCCUUCACCGAACGCUCCAACUUCCGGCAAUACUUUUAGACCCUGGAAUGGAAAGGUGUUCGAUAACUGAAUUAUUCAUAAGUCCCGGGCGGCGCGUUACAGCUUUUAUUUAAUUCGGAACAACUUAGAUGCGUUUCGAACGCUUUCCAGCUAUGUCACGGUAUCGUUUGCCAGCAACCGCGAUUCCUCACGAGGUAUUGCAAUGCCCGAUGCGUAUUUCAACUUGAACCGUAAAAUCGGCCGCUUUUUCCUCUCUUUGUUUCUUGCCCGUUUCAACGAAUCACGAUCUGCCUGGAAUUCUAAUCGCAUGCGACACGCAACAAGUUCGCGUGAA